GAGAGAGAGGAAAGUUGUGGCUGUAGAAGUUAUCAAGGGGGAUUUGCGGCGUUCUCUGCAGGAAACGAGAGCGGGCUCCAGUUCAAAGCCACAUGCACCAACGUGACAUAUAAGCCAUUAAAAUAUCAUCCUGACGGCUCAUUUCUGCUCCAUCCCCCAACCCCGAUCCGCUCCCCCGAAAGCCAGAAGAGGCGAGAUGAGGCCGGGCCGCCGGGCCGGACCUGCCCAAGAAGCGGCCCCUGGGCCCGGCCGCUGCCCUCGCCGCCGCCUCAAGUGACGGGCACGAAUGAGAAAAACCAAGCAACAGAGACGAGGUCAGAAAAUGAGAUUCAAGACUUCCCUGGUGAUGAGGAAAAGAUUCCGACUUUACCGAAACGCCCUGAGAGAGUCAAGUAGCCCCUCCGGACAUCAUGACCGCCACCUCCGCCCCGGCGUUGGGAUCCCCUCUCUGCUCCCCGGACUCCAUCAGCCGCCCGCCCAGGCUGCCCCAGGAGGCCGUCUGAACGGACAGCUCAGGCCGGGGCCUUCUCCGGCCGGGCCCAACCGGGCUGACCAUUUCCCCCCCGGGGCCUCGGCCAGGACCGAGCCAUCCGCGACGGCCUCCCUGCAGCGCUGCGGGGGCAUGAACCUGGACGUGAGCCUGGCGGCCCACGGGGGCGCCGGCACCUUCUUCCGCUACAUGCGGCAGCCCAUCAAGCAGGAGCUCAUCUGCAAGUGGCUGGAGGCGGGCCCGGGGCCCGCGAGGCUCUGCUCCAAAACUUUCAGCACCAUGCACGAGCUGGUCACCCACGUCACCGUGGAGCACGUCGGGGGGCCCGAGCAGAGCAACCACAUCUGCUUCUGGGAGGAGUGCCUGCGCGAGGGCAAGCCCUUCAAAGCCAAAUACAAACUGGUCAACCACAUCCGCGUCCACACCGGCGAGAAGCCCUUCCCCUGCCCCUUCCCCGGCUGCGGGAAGGUCUUCGCCCGCUCCGAGAACCUCAAGAUCCACAAAAGGACGCACACAGGAGUUGGAUACAUCUUAUUUUUGCGGCCAGGUCUAGCCAAGCCCUCGGCCAGGGCCACGGUUCGCAAUCCGUCGAUCCGCGGAAAACGCGCGGCCCAGAGCGGAGGGAUGCAUGCAUGGCUCUUCCCGGGGCGGCUGGUCCCGACACCGCGCUUCCGAGCAGACACACACCUCCCCCCUGCCCCGGGCCCCUUCCCACGGCCGAGCGGUCCCAGUUCGGAUGCCGAGGAUACCCCGCGUCCCUCCCUCCAGGAUCACUUCGUGCGGGACUCCCGCUGGCGUGGCUCUGAGACUUUUUUUAAUGGGGAAAAGCCCUUCCGCUGCGAGUUCGAAGGCUGUGACCGACGCUUCGCCAACAGCAGCGAUCGGAAGAAGCACUCCCACGUGCACACCAGCGACAAGCCCUACAACUGCAAAGUGCGAGGCUGCGAGAAGUCCUACACGCACCCCAGCUCCCUGAGGAAGCACAUGAAAGUGCACUGCAAGUCCCCUCCGCCCAGCUCGGGCUACGACUCGUCCACCCCAACCCUGGUGUCCCCCUCUUCCGACCCCGGCCCCGGGCUCGCCCCCCACGAGCCGGCGGCCGACCUGAGCGAAUGAUGUCUACGACGUGGCUCUCAAGGUAGAGGAGACAGCGCAGCUGAAAGGCCGGAUCCUCCGUCUUAGACAUCAAAGGCAGGCCGCACAAAGAAGUAUUUCUUCGCAACGGUGGAUCUUCAUGGCCAACACCGCCCAAAGCGGCCACAUCAACCUCCCAAUCACCACCAGUUCGCAACCGACCGGCCCUUUCCAGGAUCCACGAUGACGAAGCUGCCGUUGGGAGAGGGUCACCGCCCAGGGUCAGGUCUCCCCUGGUCCAUUCGACGCGAGUCCGUGAACUUGGGCGGGGAACCGCCGCCGCCGCUAAGCGAUAUGUGCGAGGGGAAACCCUGCUCUCUCCACGGGUAUCCGCCCCCUUGGUGUACACUAAGGGGAGAGAAAGCCCUCUUGUUGUGCUUUUCUUAAUGGCUUUAAAAAGAGGGAUGUGUAGAUUUUGUGUGUGCCUGCGUGUGCGCAUGGGCGUGUGUGUGUAUAUAUAUAUGAGUGUGUGCGCGUGAUAAGUAGACCACUUGUACAGAAGUUUCUUAAAGCUGUAACCCAUGCUGUUAUUAUGGUGGCUGUAAAAUGUCGUCUUUUAUAUUGAUUUUUAUCUGUUUGCUGGAGAUUCCCAUAUGUUUGUUUACAUCGCUAAUUUAUGGGAAAAUGAAAUGAUCGCAAUGAAUGUGAAUUAUUCCGACAGGAAAACGUUUUGUAACCGUAACUCACCCGAGAAGCCCUACUGAAUCGUUUUACUGCGUCGUUCCCUCCCAGAGUAGGUAUGAUUUAUCUCUCCACCGUAGCCGGAGUUCAAGAGCAAAAGUCUCCCUUCCCCUCCCCCAGCACCUCCAUGCCCUUUCUGCAUCUGUUCUACGACCGACUGCGAAAAGGGUUUGCAAAGAUGCAAACACUACUGAGAGGGCUUGGAUCAUUCUUACUGUAAAUUUGUACAGAAUCACCCAGUCUGGCCUUCUCCUUCCAAAGAUGGUUCUUUACAAUUGUAUUUGGGGUUUCGUUUAUUUUCAAUUUUCCGUCUGAAAUAAACGGCGUCUGAGUU